UCCCUGGCCUGUGAUAGGAAGGCCAUGGAACCUUGCCCGGGGGGGUAUUCAAAUAAAUUACCUGGCCCUUUGUUGCCUCUCUUCACCUGCUUGUUUGAGCUAAAAUUUAUCUUACAUUUGGUGCCGAAACCCGGGGGAAGUAGUGUGAGUGCGGGGCCCCAACCAGCCACCAGCGGCUCCACCCCCUCCUUCCCUGAUCCAGGACCUCAGCCUGCUCUCUGCUGCAUGGACUAUUUUCUGAAUAAAAGCACCAACUUUCUGAAGCCCUCUCAACUAACCAGUGAUAGAGACCUAACUACACCCUUUACUGCAUCCCUUCUCAGCAUGAAGCAGCCAGAGCAGUCGUCGCCCCUUUUCCCUGGCAGCAGCUAGAGUCUCUAUCUGUAGAAAAAAAAAAUGAGACAAAAACCAUAAGUUUAGAUGGAGUGAAGUGAGAGCCUCUAAAGAGGGCAGGGUGAGAUAUUUGCAGUCAGAACAAUGUAACUACAUGCUAUGAAACCCCACCCCGCCACGACGCCCCUUGUCAGCCAAGAAUAGCCAGUUCAAGUCGUUACCCAUUAUGACCAAAAGGCUGAAAUAGUCCACGGUGUGUAGGAUAUCUGCCUAAGACGCAAGUCCACAGAGGAAAGCAGAACCCAGAGAUGAAGAGGAACACUAGUUCCUGGAUCUGGCUAUACCUGAAGCAAGCCCAAAGUUUGGUUGCAUGAACCAAUACAUUUUCUGCCCCUUGUCUUCUUGAGUUUGAAAAAAUUUUCUCCUUCUUGCCAUCAAAAGAGUCCCAAAUAAGAGAAUGAACCAGUCACCUACUGGCCUUCAGUAAGUCCCCCCACCUUUAAAAUAUUAAUUUCUUCUCCUGCAUAAUGAUGGUGAUGAUUCCUCCCUCAAGAACGGUAGGGGACUGUGUAAGAGACUGAGUGCAAUCACUCUUUAAAACCUGGAAGGUGUUACAUAAUGUAAGCAGUCGAUACUGGAGUGACUCAUUCUUUCAUAAACCCUUUGGUGGGGUAGGUUAUUCUUUUCAUUUUUUUCUAAGCAAAAGAAUUGCUGUAUCUUUGUCUCUUCAAAAAACAAAAUCCUCAACCACAGUAAACUGAGUUGGGCCUGCCUGCUCCCAUGUGAGGAGAAGGCUUAGGUGAGAGGUGCUUCUCUGGGAGGAGGUGGAACAGGUGACUUUCUCAGUGAGUGAGUGUUCACUGCUUUGGACCUAGGAAGGGCCAUGGGGUCUCUGGGUUUGUUACUGAGAUUUAAUCAGACAUAAAACUCUGAUUUCCUGCCUGAACCCCUAGCCAUAAAAUCACAGUUUAUUGUAGCCUCCAAACACCAUUGGUCACCAGGCCCCAUUCUCCAUGCCUGUGGGGCUGGUUAAUGAGCAUACAACAAAGUCCUCCUGGAAAGCAUUUCCCUCCCCUCUGUUCUUGCCUGCUGGCCCCUCUGACUUCCUCCCCAUUUGUGGCCUUGAUGGCUUUUCUAGAGCAGAGGCCUAAGCAGCAGCCUUGCCCCCAGAAGCAGGCUGGGGCUCUGUGCUGGGAGCAGUAGUCUCAAGCCCAGCAUGUCUGACCUUGAAAGUAGAACAUCAACCCUCUCUCCUCACCACACAAAGCUCCAGUGGGCCCAUCCUCAGAGCAGGGGGACAACAGGAGCUGUUGGCCCCAAUAACAAGGAGGCCUCGCUCAGGCCGCACCAGGCAGCCCCACUGUGGGAGUGCCCUUUGGGUGGAAGGUCGCAGAGACCUAACCCACACCCUCACCCUCUCUCUUAAGGACCCAGCCUCCUUUGGUGGGCCUGGGGUUGCACCCUGUCUGCGCACACAACCCUCCACCUCACAGCUUCUGUGGCCUCCUCUGGAGUCAGUCCUGUUUUGUGUGUUCCCAUCAAAUGGGGUGCUAACCACACACUUCAAGCAAGGGGGCUGGCUGAGGUGCUCGUCGUG